UGGCGGCGUGCCUAACACGUGCAAGUCGAACGAGAAAGUGGAGCAAUCCAUGAGUAAAGUGGCGACCGGGUGAGUAACACGUGACUAACCUACCUCCGAGUGGGGAAUAACUCCGGGAAACCGGGGCUAAUACCGCAUAACAUCGCAAGAUCAAAGCAGCAAUGCGCUUGGAGAGGGGGUCGCGGCUGAUUAGCUCGUUGGCGGGGUAACGGCCCACCAAGGCGAAGAUCGGUAUCCGGCCUGAGAGGGCGCACGGACACACUGGAACUGAAACACGGUCCAGACUCCUACGGGAGGCAGCAGUGGGGAAUUUUGCGCAAUGGGGGAAACCCUGACGCAGCAACGCCGCGUGGAGGAUGAAGCCCUUUGGGGCGUAAACUCCUUUCGACUCGGACGAUAAUGACGGUACGAGUGGAAGAAGCACCGGCUAACUCUGUGCCAGCAGCCGCGGUAAUACAGAGGGUGCGAGCGUUGUUCGGAAUUAUUGGGCGUAAAGGGCGCGUAGGCGGUGCGGUAAGUCACCUGU
rnacentral:rRNA from 1 species